GGUAGGGGAUCCGAACCCUUGACCUUGACGUUAUGGCACUGCACGCUGACCAACUGAGCUAACCGGCCAACCCAUGCCCCCAAAUUUAUUGACGCUUGACCCCCACUGUAACAGUGUUAAGAGGAUAGGAAAUCUGAUUAUGGUGUUUUAUGUGGGACCUUCAAGAGGGGAUUGGAUCGUGAGGACUGUGCCCUUGUGAAUGAAUUGAUCCGUUCAUGGAAUAAUGUGUUGACAGCUUAGUGGGGUAUCAGGGAGCACUCCUGAUGGCUCUGUGAGGGGAGCAGGUGAGCAGGUGAGCUCUUGCUCGGGUCGUCCUCUCCAUGACACCACGGUGGUCCCUGGGCCUCCUACAGAGCCCCCUCCCAGAAGAGGGAAGGCCCUGACCAGAUGCGCACCCUGGACUGCGGACUUCCCGGCCUCCGAAAUGAGAGGACCGGUAAGUGGGUCUCGGCCCCUGACUUGGCGUCCUCAGCACCGGCUCCCCCCGAGUGAGCCACGGGCCGGCCCCACAUUCGCCCUUUUAAAGGGGGUUGAGAGGAUGAGAGUCGCUGUGUCAGAAGCUACUGAGAUAGCCACGCAAGAGCUGACCAGACACAGGCCGACGCUCCGGCAGGACGCUGAAAAGAAAGUAAUCAUCUGAGACCUCCCUCGACGUGAAGCAGACACGGCUUGUCCCCCCCUGACUCACUCACUCAUAAGCAGUAGCCUCUGCCCGUGUGUUCAGGAUCCUCGGUGCACGUGAGGGAAGUGGCAGAUCAGCAGAGGGUCUGCGGCGUGUGUCCUCCACGCCGUCACACAAGUUCACCAGCUCAGCAAGGACUAGGUAACUUAGCAAAGGACAGUAGUCCCUUCUAUGCAGUAACGGCCGGGCCCAAUCCUGCAGGAGGCCUGUAUGUGACUGGCAUGAAGAGGGGUCGGGGAACCGAUCCCAGAGGCCUCACCUGCCUCACUCAGGGCUCAGACCUGGUCCACUAGACAGAGAAAGCCACCGGCAGGUUUUAAGCCAGGUACGCCACUUGAGAAGUUUGCUGUGAAAAUCAUGUGGGAGACAGAUUGGAGGUGGCGCAAGGCCUGAGGCAGAGAACAAUACAAAGGCCAGUUUGAUAAUGCAGGUGAGGUGAGGGUCGCUUAAGGAACGGGAGGCACGGAGGGGAGCACGUAGAUAAGACAGACGUCAGGAGUUUGAAUCAUAAGACUGAGUCACGCAUGAGAGGCCUGAGUGCAACUACAGACGGUGCCUCCCAGAUUCUGGAAUGGUCGGCGUGGUGGACAGGGAACACCAGGAAGGGGGCUGCAUUCAUGGGAAAUAUGAUGUUUUAGGCUUCGAUUCUGCUGAGUUUUAGGAACCCGCAGAAACACCAAGUGGAGACGUCUAGUUAGCGGAUGAAUAAAUGAGCCUGAACAUCUAUAGCGUUGUCUGGCAGAAGAUACAAAAAAGAUCUGAGAAUUACUCGA